AUGGCUGGGCCGUGGCUAAUCAUUGGCGACUUUAACCUGAUCACGGACCCAUGUGACAAAAACAAUGAUAGAAUUUGCCGCCGCUGGAUGAAUAAGUUUCGCCGCACUCUGAAUAACUCUAGCCUUCGCGAGCUUCCUCUCAUUGGUAGAAGGUUUACAUGGAGUAACGAGCAAGACUCGCCCACACUAGUUAGGCUUGAUCGUGCCUUUUGCAAUGUUGCCUGGGAACUGUUGUUCCCGGCUGCGAAACUUCUCCCGCAAGCCUCGUCCAUCUCGGACCACUGCCCGCUUCUCCUCCGCAGCGAGGUGAUAAUCAAAACUAACCGAAGAUUCAGAUUCGAAGCAUACUGGCAGCACAUUCAGGGUUUCCAUGAGGUGGUACAGCACUCGUGGUCUAAACCAGCCGGUAGCCGCUGCCCGAUCUCACGUUUCAAUCACAAGUUGUGGCGACUCAGCAAGGAUCUUAGAGCUUGGAGCAAGUCCAUCGUAGGGGAUAUUAACAAGCAGCUGUGCAUGGCCAACGAAAUUGUUUUGCAGCUGGACAUGGCACAAGAUUUCCGUGCCUUGUCGAUUGAGGAGAGGAACUUGCGCUCCAAGCUCAAGUCAAGGAGUUUGGGUCUCUCGGUUCUGCUUAAGAUCAAAUUAAGGUAG
rnacentral:rRNA from 1 species